rnacentral:rRNA from 1 species
AUGCAAGUGCAGGUGGCCGCUACCAUACGACUUUGUCUUGCGGAUCAGGUCGUGUAUAAUGUCAUGGAUGAAGAUUCUCCUAAGAGAAUUUGGGACAAGUUGGCAAGUCGUUCUAUGUCCAAGUCAGCGACCAAUAAGCUGUAUUUGAAGGAAAAGUUAUAUGGGUUGAAGAUGCAGGAGGGAUUGGAUCUUGUAGAGCAUGUGAAUGCCUUUAAUCAGUUGGUCACAGAUCUAGCGUGUCUGGAUGUGAAGACUGAUGACGAGGAUAAGGCACUACUUCUUGUUCCGUUGCCACCGUCCUAUGAAGUCAACCGUCAAUAA